rnacentral:rRNA from 1 species
GCCUUUUGUAGAAUGAACCGGCGAGUUACGAUUUGAUGCAAGGUUAAGCAGUAAAUGUGGAGCCGUAGCGAAAGCGAGUCUGAAUAGGGCGUUUAGUAUUUGGUCGUAGACCCGAAACCAGGUGAUCUACCCUUGGUCAGGUUGAAGUUCAGGUAACACUGAAUGGAGGACCGAACCGACUUACGUUGAAAAGUGAGCGGAUGAACUGAGGGUAGCGGAGAAAUUCCAAUCGAACCUGGAGAUAGCUGGUUCUCUCCGAAAUAGCUUUAGGGCUAGCCUCAAGUGAUGAUUAUUGGAGGUAGAGCACUGUUUGGACGAGGGGCCCCUCUCGGGUUACCGAAUUCAGACAAACUCCGAAUGCCAAUUAAUUUAACUUGGGAGUCAGAACAUGGGUGAUAAGGUCCGUGUUCGAAAGGGAAACAGCCCAGACCACCAGCUAAGGUCCCAAAAUAUAUGUUAAGUGGAAAAGGAUGUGGCGUUGCCCAGACAACUAGGAUGUUGGCUUAGAAGCAGCCAUCAUUUAAAGAGUGCGUAAUAGCUCACUAGUCGAGUGACACUGCGCCGAAAAUGUACCGGGGCUAAACAUAUUACCGAAGCUGUGGAUUGUCCUUUGGACAAUGGUAGGAGAGCGUUCUAAGGGCGUUGAAGCAUGAUCGUAAGGACAUGUGGAGCGCUUAGAAGUGAGAAUGCCGGUGUGAGUAGCGAAAGACGGGUGAGAAUCCCGUCCACCGAUUGACUAAGGUUUCCAGAGGAAGGCUCGUCCGCUCUGGGUUAGUCGGGUCCUAAGCUGAGGCCGACAGGCGUAGGCGAUGGAUAACAGGUUGAUAUUCCUGUACCACCUAUA